rnacentral:lncRNA from 1 species
UAGCCUCAUUUGAAGUUCAUUUCCUCUUCUCCAAUCUCCACUCUUUGACAAAUUACACGAGAUCUCGACAAACCACAAAACAGUUUCAAACCUAACGCUCGACUCGCAGGUUGUAUGUUCAGAUUCUUCAUAAUACUUUGAUUAAUAUGUAUGGUUCUUGUAAGAAGGUUGUUUAUGCGUAUAAGGUGUUCUAUAAAAUGUCAUUUAAAACGGUUGUUUCUUGGAAUUCGAUUAUUUCAGCUUAUGUAGAGAGCUCAAAGUUUUUCUAUUCAAUUGAGGUUUUUGUCAAGAUGCUAGAUAGAGGAUAGUGAUUUUGAGCAGGAUGAAACAACGGUGGUGAUUGUACUUUCCGUUUGUGUAGAGCUUGGUAACUUGAGUAUGUGAAAAUGGGUGGGUCACUGGGUCCAUUCUCAUGUUAUUGAGAAAGGUAUGGUUUUGAAUUGUCAAUUGGGUACUGCCCUUGUUGAUAUGUAUGGAAAAGUACGGUUUUGAAUUAUCAAUCACAAUAAAUUUGUUGAUUAACAAUGCUGUAAAAUGAGAUUUUGUUAAUUGUUACUAUCGAAAUUCCAAGUUUCUUAUUUACUACCAACUUUGAGUAAUUGAUUUAUUAUAUUGAAGUCAUGAUAGUUAUUUGGAAGCAUGAAGGAAAGAGGAAAUAAAAACUAGUUAAAUGAAAGAAGGAUAGGAAGUAC